rnacentral:rRNA from 1 species
GACCUCGGAUCAGGUAGGGAUACCCGCUGAACUUAAGCAUAUCAAUAAGCGGAGGAAAAGAAACCAACAG